GUUCACUUUGGAAACAUAUACUACAGUUAGAAUAAUACAGAGAAGAUUAGGAUGGCCCUUGUGCAGGGAUGACACAAAUUCAGGGGGCAUUCCCAAUGGACCU